rnacentral:misc_RNA from 1 species
AAGAAUUCUAGUUUUGGUCAAUGGCUUGUAGGAAGAGAAGUUCGCAAGUUUUUUGGGGACAAUUACUACCGUGGGAAAGUUAUUGAAUUUGAUGGGGAAGUCGGUUGGUUCAGGGUGAAGUAUGAAGAUGGCGACAUUGAAGAUCUUGAGUGGCAUGAGUUGGAACAAGUCCUUCAGCCUUUGGACAUUACUAUUCCAUUGAUAACAGUAGCCACAAAGGUCAAUAAGAGAAAGCAGAAAUCCAUUCAAGAAUUCAGGGGUAUAACUAGAAAUCAAGGUAUAAAAG